rnacentral:rRNA from 1 species
UAGGGAAUAUUAGAAAUGGACGAAAGUCUGAUCCAGCAACACCGCGUGUGCAAAGAAGGCCUUUGGGUCGUAAAGCACUUUUUGGAAGGAAUAGGAAGGAAUGUACUUCCAGAAUAAGUCUCGGCUAACUACGUGCCAGCAGCCGCGGUAACACGUAGGAGGCAAACGUUAUCCGGAUUUACUGGGCGUAAAGCGCGUGUAGGUGGUACUGUAAGUAGGGCGUGAAAGCUCCUGGCUCAACUGGGAGAGGCCGUUCUAAACUACAGAACUAGAGGAUGGUAGAGGGAGGUGGAAUUCCAGGUGCAGCGGUGGAAUGCGCAGAUAUCUGGAGGAACACCGGUGGCGAAGGCGGCCUCCUGGACCAUUCCUGACACUCAGACGCGAAAGCUAGGGUAGCAAACGG